AGAUUUAGCGCGUCAUUAACAACAACAAUAACAAUAUUUAUUAUUAUGGAAAAAAGUUAUGUUACAAAAUAAUGAGUAAUAAUAAUAAUAAUAAUUAAAUAAUAAUUAUUAAUAAUAGCAUUAGCUACCGGUUUAAACCGGUCACUAAGGCCACGUGGUCGACUGUCCUAGGUAGGGUUAAGAUUAGGUGACGUAGAAUUAUCAGUAACAACACGGUAAUACGUCGAUAUUAAAAUGAGAAGAAAGAAUUAGAAGAUCAUAUUUCAAAUAUGUAAUUUUGUUUGAA